rnacentral:rRNA from 1 species
GAUGAACGCUGGCGGCGUGCCUAAUACAUGCAAGUCGAGCGAACAGACGAGGAGCUUGCUCCUCUGACGUUAGCGGCGGACGGGUGAGUAAAACGUGGAUAACCUACCUAUAAGACUGGGAUAACUUCGGGAAACCGGAGCUAAUACCGGAUAAUAUAUUGAACCGCAUGGUUCAAUAGUGAAAGACGGUUUUGCUGUCAAUUAUAGAUGGAUCCGCGCCGCAUUAGCUAGUUGGUAAGGUAACGGCUUACCAAGGCAACGAUGCGUAGCCGACCUGAGAGGGUAAUCGGCCACUCUGGAACGAAGACACGGUACAGACUCCUACGGGAGGCAGCAGUAGGGAAUCUUCCGCAGUGGGCGAAAGCCUGACGGGGCAACGCCGCGUGAGUGAUGAAGGUCUUCGGAUCGUAAAACUCUGUUAUUAGAGAAGAACAAAUGUGUAAGUAACGAUGCACGUCUAGACGGUACCUAAUCAGAGAGCCACGGCUAACUACGU